UAUUCUCAGAGAGGAGACCCAUCUUCAUUUUAGCGGAUAUUGACAAAGGCAUUAUUCCCAUUUUACCUAUAUUGAACAUUAUGCACAGCCAGGGGCUGGUGCCACAAAAAUCUGCAUAGAAAUACGUUCCUCUUUCAACCACUAUUUAAGAGGAGUGAUUUUAGGGCAUUUUGCAAAUAUGUGUGUGUCUCUGUGUAUUUGAAAUGCUCUUUUUGGUUUGUAUUCAUGUUAAUUCAUUGUGAGAAAAUAGUUGACCACCUAAUAUGCCUUAUUAUUCUGCUCUUCCUCUGUCUCUUCAGGACUUUCAAGUUCUGUCUCUUCACCUUGAAUGUUCUGAAGAAUUCCUAUGUCUUUUCUCUCUGGGAAGGCAAAAUGUUGUGUCACCUUCAAUGUGAAAGAGGGUAUUUGCUGCCAGAGUGUGUUUUCCUUUUAAAAGAACAAUAG
rnacentral:lncRNA from 13 species